UACGUAGGGUGCAAGCGUUAAUCGGAAUUACUGGGCGUAAAGCGUGCGCAGGCGGUUCUAUAAGACAGAUGUGAAAUCCCCGGGCUCAACCCUGGGAACUGCAUUUGUGACUGUAGAGCUGGAGUACGGCAGAGGGGGAUGGAAUUCCGCGUGUAGCAGUGAAAUGCGUAGAUAUGGCGGAGGAACACCGAUGGCGAGGGCAAUCCCCUGGGCCUGUACUGACGCUCAUGCACGAAAGCGUGGGGAGCAAACAGG
rnacentral:rRNA from 1 species